CCGCUGAACGGGAGAGAAGAGGAGACACAGCGUCUGCUGCUCCGUCUGACGGUGUGAGCGCCCGGAGCGUCCCCUGAACGGCCGCCCUGUUCUCCCUGCACCAGCUACCAAUUGCGUGUCUGCGGAUCGCUCCCUGCGCCCCCCCCCUGGACUCCCCUGCUGUGCUGUAAGCCUGCACUUAUACAGCGCUGGCUCACACUUCUAGAGGGACAGGACAUACCUAGCUGGAGAGGAAGAGGAUACGCCAGGUAACCGGGAAUGGGAGAAUAUCAGAGUUGCACUGGUGAUAACUCUGGGACUUCAGGAUUGAUUCUAUCCGAGAGUACAAUACAUGUGGAAUUUAUGCCGGUAGUAGACAAAGAAAUAAAAUACCUGGAUGAGGGACACCAACAAAAGGAAACCAAGAGCUUCUACAGGGCUUGGUAUAUUAAAUCGACAGUGACCUUGUGAACAUGUAUAUCAUGUCGACAUCAAUAAAAUGUCAAUAAUGCCAUUUUCAGGUAUGCCUAAGUGACAUUUUGUCCAUGUCGACAUUUUUUUAUAAAUUGGCAUUAUGACUGUCGACAUUCUGGAGUUGAUAUUGUAAAUGGUGACAUUAUGACUGCACAUCUUCCACACAUGUACAGUCCUUACAUUCAAUAAUCAACCAUCAUCCCAGAAUGGUCAGGUUUACAUAUAAAAGUGCCUGAUUGUCGUGGUUGCUAUAACUGUAAUAGCAUUGCGCACGAGUAUAACUCAGUGGCUUUACAAAUUACACUUCAUUGCUCCAAAAACACUUAAAUGGGUCAUUAAACUCAUGUGGUAAAAAAAGUUUUCAAGGUUAACGUCUAAAAUAUUUAUGGUUUUUAAAUAUACUAACCUAUCACCAUCAAUAAGGCUCUCUCGUACCUUCUAACUGCAAUAGAUUUUGAGGGGACAGUGCAGACUCACACAUCCUGAAAGAAGUUGGGUUGCUGAAAGAAGAUAGGGCAUCACAAAAGAAGGGGUACUUUGGGAUGAGAUGCAGUCAUAAGGUUGAAAAUAAUAAUGUUGACACCACAAUGUCGAUAGUCAUGAUGACACAUUUGUUUAAAUCUCAACAGGCAACAUUUCCAGAAUGUUGACAUGUUAAUAUCAUCAUCAUUAGGUUGUGAGGUCAGAGAGUUAGGCACU